rnacentral:rRNA from 1 species
CACGUAGGGCGCAAGCGUUGUCCGGAAUUAUUGGGCGUAAAGAGCUCGUAGGCGGUCUGUUGCGUCUGCUGUGAAAACCCGGGGCUCAACCCCGGGCCUGCAUUCGAUACGGGCAGACUAGAGUUCGGUAGGGGAGUCUGGAAUUCCUGGUGUAGCGGUGAAAUGCGCAGAUAUCAGGAGGAACACCGGUGGCGAAGGCGGGACUCUGGGCCGAUACUGACGCUGAGGAGCGAAAGCGUGGGGAGCAAACAGG